rnacentral:rRNA from 1 species
UUGCCUCAGUAACGGCGAGUGAAGCGGCAACAGCUCAAAUUUGAAAUCUGGCCGCAAGGUCCGAGUUGUAAUUUGUAGAGGAUGCUUUUGGCGAGGUGCCUUCCGAGUUCCCUGGAACGGGACGCCAUAGAGGGUGAGAGCCCCGUACGGUAGGACCACCAAGCCUCUGUAAAGCUCCUUCGACGAGUCGAGUUGUUUG